GGAGAUGUGACUCAGUGACAGAGUGUUUGCCUGACAAGCACAAGGCCCUGGGUUUGAUCCCCAGCACCACAA
rnacentral:tRNA from 1 species